UCGAGAAGCUUCGGCAAUGGGCGAAAGCCUGACCGAGCGACGCCGCGUGAGCGAUGAAGGCCCUUGUGGUUGUAAAGUGCUGUCAUAUGGGAUUAACACGGCGCGGCGAAUAGUCUCUCCGUCUGAAAGUACCCUCAGAGGAAGCUCCGUCUAACCCCGUGCCCGCAGCCGCGGUAAUCGGGCGGGAGCGAACGUUGUUCGGAAUCACUGGGUGUAAAGGGGGCGUAGGCGGCCUUGUAUGUCGGAGGUGAAAUCUACCGGCUCAACCGGUCAAAUUGCCUCCGAAACUGCUUGGCUUGAGUCCGGAAGGGGAGGGUGGAAUUCCUGGUGUAACGGUGAAAUGUGCAGAUAUCAGGAGGAACACCGGUGGCGAAGGCGGCCCUCUGGUCCGGUACUGACGCUGAGGCACGAAAGCCAGGGGAUCAAACGGG
rnacentral:rRNA from 1 species